GUGGGGAAUCUUGCGCAAUGGGCGAAAGCCUGACGCAGCCAUGCCGCGUGAAUGAUGAAGGUCUUAGGAUUGUAAAAUUCUUUCACCGGGGACGAUAAUGACGGUACCCGGAGAAGAAGCCCCGGCUAACUUCGUGCCAGCAGCCGCGGUAAUACGAAGGGGGCUAGCGUUGCUCGGAAUUACUGGGCGGAAAGGGCGCGUAGGCGGACAGUUUAGUCAGAGGUGAAAGCCCAGGGCUCAACCUUGGAAUUGCCUUUGAUACUGGCUGUCUUGAGUUUGGGAGAGGUGAGUGGAACUCCGAGUGUAGAGGUGAAAUUCGUAGAUAUUCGGAAGAACACCAGUGGCGAAGGCGACUCACUGGCCCAAUACUGACGCUGAGGCGCGAAAGCGUGGGGAGCAAACAGGAUUAGAAACCCUAGUAGUCC
rnacentral:rRNA from 1 species